GCCCGCCCCUCCCGCAGGCCCCGCCAUGGCGGACCCCCUCAGGGAACCGACGGGCCGCGCCCACUCAGCGCGGACGGGCGCCGCGCGCGGGGUGCGGCUCCGCUCGGUACCUCGUCGCCGAAGCGCACCACCUUCUGGCCCGUGUUGAGGCGCAGGCUGGGCUCCUUGUGGAGGAGAGGAAGGAAGCCAGGAAUUGUCACCUGCCCUCCGAGUUCCCGCACCCCGCUGGCCUCUUCCUUAACAUUAAGAGCGGUUUCUGACAACUACAGCUCCUGAGUUCGUAAGCCAGAACAAGAGGGCAGUGCAAAACCAGCAUCUUCAAAACGUUCGUUACCCAACUGCCACGAUCUUCUGGAAGCUGUUUGCCAGCACUGUGAGGAGCUUGCAGCACGAGCACGGUUCUUUUCUCUGAUUCUGUUUUUCCAAGUACUGUAAUUAAAGGCAAAUCUUGUGCUGCA